rnacentral:rRNA from 1 species
CUUAAUUACUUAUAUAAUUCAACAAUGUUCUUAACAAAACAUGGCCCAACAGCACAAACUAAACCAUUUUAUUACCUGAGUAUGGGAGACAGAAAGGGUUCAACACAAAGCGAUAGAAAAAGUACCGCAGGGGAAAGCUGAAAGAGACAUGAAAUAGCCCAUAUAAGCACCAAAAAACAAAGACUAAACCUU